GAUAAGGUAAGCUAAAUUAAGCUAGUGGGCUCAUAACCCAAAAAUGAUCAUCUCCCUUACUG
rnacentral:tRNA from 1 species